GUGAGGAAUAUUGGUCAAUGGCCGGAAGGCUGAACCAGCCAAGUAGCGUGCAGGAUGACGGCCCUCCGGGUUGUAAACUGCUUUUAGUUGGGAAUAAAAGGGGGCUCGCGAGCCCCGUAUUGUAUGUACCAUCAGAAAAAGGACCGGCUAAUUCCGUGCCAGCAGCCGCGGUAAUACGGAAGGUCCGGGCGUUAUCCGGAUUUAUUGGGUUUAAAGGGAGCGUAGGCUGGUUUUCAAGUCAGCUGUGAAAGUUCGCGGCUCAACCGCGGAAUUGCAGUUGAAACUGGAAGCCUUGAGUGCACACAGGGAUGCCGGAAUUCAUGGUGUAGCGGUGAAAUGCUUAGAUAUCAUGAAGAACUCCGAUCGCGAAGGCAAGUGUCCGGGGUGCGACUGACGCUGAGGCUCGAAAGUGCGGGUAUCAAACAGG
rnacentral:rRNA from 1 species